ACGGGUGAGUAACACGUGGGCAACCUGCCCUGCACUCUGGGAUAAGCCCGGGAAACUGGGUCUAAUACCGGAUAUGACCCUCUACCGCAUGGUGGAGGGUGGAAAGUUCCGGCGGUGCAGGAUGGGCCCGCGGCCUAUCAGCUUGUUGGUGGGGUAGUGGCCUACCAAGGCGACGACGGGUAGCCGGCCUGAGAGGGCGACCGGCCACACUGGGACUGAGACACGGCCCAGACUCCUACGGGAGGCAGCAGUGGGGAAUAUUGCGCAAUGGGCGAAAGCCUGACGCAGCGACGCCGCGUGAGGGAUGACGGCCUUCGGGUUGUAAACCUCUUUCAGCAGGGACGAAGCGCAAGUGACGGUACCUGCAGAAGAAGCACCGGCUAACUACGUGCCAGCAGCCGCGGUAAUACGUAGGGUGCGAGCGUUGUCCGGAAUUAUUGGGCGUAAAGAGCUCGUAGGCGGUUUGUCGCGUCGACUGUGAAAACCUACAGCUUAACUGUGGGCUUGCAGUCGAUACGGGCAGACUUGAGUUCGGUAGGGGAGACUGGAAUUCCUGGUGUAGCGGUGAAAUGCGCAGA
rnacentral:rRNA from 1 species